rnacentral:lncRNA from 1 species
GAAUAGUAAGGGCGGACUAUAAAUCGGCAAAUAAUAUCAAAAAAAGAUAUCUUUUUUUCGAGAAUAGAAAACCACUUAUAUUUUCUCUGCAUUUCCUUCGCAUUUUUUAGGAGUAGUCUACUUGUAAUCUUUUCUUUUUCCGCAUCUACUGCUUUUCGUAGGAGUAGUUCUAAAUUAGAUUUUCAGAGUCUGUAUGUUCUAAUCGCACACUCGCAUUUGUACAAGUUUUCAAAUAUAAUUUUAAUAUAUAAAGACAUUCGGCUCUUUCAGCCGAUCAAUUACUGUGCAUUUCAUCCAUUCGGCUCAUCCAGCCGAACUCGUUCUGCAGUAAGAGUUUUCGAACUUGACUAAUCCAAUCCCUCAUCAGUCGAAUCGCUUGAUCCGUCGGACGGUG